AAAAUAAAAUAAAAGUUAAAGAGGUGCGCUGCGCACAGAAGACUUUUGAGAGAGACGAGACCUCUCACUGUUGUUGAGAAAACGAAAGAGCUUUCUUUUUCUUCAGAAAUCUUUUUCGUAUUGUCUUCUCUACUAUUAUCUUCAAAAUGAAAAUAAAACAUUGACAAAUUUGGUAAAACCCCAACUACUCUCUGCGUUAGCUUUUGAGAUUGGUUGGUUCUGCCUCACUCACCUCGAAAAAGACCUGCACUUGCAGAUUACACCAUUAUAAAAUGACCCUCCAAAAGAAAACACUUUCGUGGAUCAAUCAUUCAAUGGCGGCUGUGAACUUGAAAGCUAUUAGCUUUAUCUAAGAAAGCUUUGCAAUUUAGGGUUUAAACGGAAGAAACGUGUUGCUCAUCUCAAUUUGAUUGUUGCUUCAGUCACAAGUUGUGAAAGAGUUGUUCUUUUGAGACAUGACCAUGUGGCAGUGAGUUUUCAACUCCACUUAUGAAAGUUGUACUCUUUUUCUGUGAUAUUAUUGCACUUGGCUAGAGAAGACUCUUCUUGUCUUUGUUUUGCUAUGAUGAUCAUUCUCCUGUUGCUGCUCUUCUUUUUUGGUUCAUCUCUGAGCCAACAACCUACAUGUCAUCCCAGCGACUUAUCUGCGCUCCGGGAUUUCGCAGGAGCGUUGAAGAACAGGUCUGUUACUGAUUCUUGGUUCAAAGAUUCGAGUUGCUGUCAAUGGGACGGUGUGUUUUGCCAAGGGAGUGAUGUUCCUGGUCGAGUUACAAACCUGGUUCUCUCUGGAAAAGGUUUGGAAGGUGUGAUGUCCGGUUCUUUAGGCGAGUUGAGUGAGCUGAGAUCACUUGAUCUCUCUCAUAACCACCUCAAAGGCGAAUUGGCAGCAGAGAUUUCAAAGUUGCAGCACCUUGAAGUUCUUGACUUGAGCCAUAAUAUGUUAUCAGGGCCAGUCUCUGAAGCUGUUUCCGGUUUAAAGCUGGUUAAGUCACUGAACAUCUCCAGCAAUUCGCUAACCGGGAAUCUAUCCUUUGUUGGAGUGUUUCCUGGUCUUUUGAUGCUUAACGUAAGCAACAAUCUGUUCCAAGGUGAGAUUCAUCCUGAGCUAUGCAGCGUGUCUAGUGAGAUUCAGGUUCUUGAUUUGUCGAUGAAUCGUUUGGUGGGGAAUGCUGAUGGAUUGUACAGCUGCAGCAGAUCUGUUGAGCUGUCAGUCUCUGGAAACUACUUAUCCGGAGAGUUAAGCGAAAGGUUGAGCAAUCUCACUGCUCUCAAGUCUUUCUUGAUAUCCGAGAACCGGUUCUCUGGUUUAAUCCCAGAUGUGUUUAGUAAUCUCACUCAGCUUGAGCACCUCGACGUAAGCUCCAACAAGUUCUCUGGAAAGUUUCCAUCAAGCUUAUCUCAAUGCUCCAAACUCAAUGUGCUUGAACUUCGGAACAACUCUUUAUCCGGUUCUAUCGAUCUUAACUUCACUGGUUUGUCUGAUCUUUGCGUUCUUGAUCUCGCCAGCAAUCAUUUCUCUGGACAUCUUGCUGAGUCUCUUGGCCAUUGUCCCAAGAUGAAGAUCUUGAGCUUGGCGAAAAACGAGUUCACAGGCAAGAUCCCCGUUACGUUCAAGAACCUGAAGUCUCUUCUGUUCCUGUCCUUAUCUAACAACACCUUUGUGGAUCUGUCAGAAGCAAUGAACGUGCUGCAACACUGCAGAAACCUCUCGACUCUGAUCCUCUCAAAGAACUUCGUGCACGAGGAAGUACCGAGAGACGUCACAGGUUUCAACAACCUCGCGAUUCUAGCUCUCGGAAACUGCGGUCUUAGAGGUCAGAUUCCGAGGUGGCUGCUGAGUUGCAAGAAGCUUCAGGUUCUUGAUCUCUCUUGGAACCGCUUCCACGGAACCAUCCCUCGUUGGAUCGGUCAGAUGGAGAGUCUCUUCUACAUAGACUUCUCUAACAACACUUUAACCGGAGAGAUCCCUCAAGCCUUAACCGAGCUUAAGAGCUUGGUUCAUUUAAACUGUACCGGCUCUCAGAUAAGUAUCCCUUUGUACGUUAAGCGGAACAAGAGCUCGAGAGGUCUUCCCUAUAACCAAGUCUCAAGAUUCCCUCCCUCUAUCUACUUAAACAACAACCGUCUAAACGGUACGAUCUUGCGGGAGAUGGGGCGAUUGAAAGAGCUUCACAUGCUGGACUUGAGCAGGAACAACUUCACCGGGACCAUACCUGACACCAUCUCAGGUCUUGACAACCUGGAGCUUCUUGAUUUGUCUUACAAUCACCUCCGCGGUUCGAUUCCGCCCUCUUUCCAGAGCCUCACUUUCUUGUCGAGGUUCAGCGUUGCGUACAACCGUCUCUCCGGGGCCAUACCUUCGGGUGGUCAGUUCUACAGCUUCCCUCACUCGAGCUUCGAAGGAAACUUGGGACUAUGUCGAGCCAUUGACUCUCCUUGCGAUGUCAUGAUGAGUAAUAACAUCUUGACACCGAAAGGCUUUUCUCGUAGUCAUCAUCAUCACAACGGUGGAAAGUUCGGGAGAAGCAGCGUUGUUGUACUUGCAAUAAGUCUCGCUGUGGGGAUCACUCUGCUUCUCUCUGUUAUUCUACUAAGGCUCUCGAGAAAAGAGGGUGAUGACCGAGUCAACGACGCUGAUGAUGAAGUUCCUAAAGCUCCCUUAUCAUCAUCAUCUUCAAAGAUUGUCCUCUUCCACAGCUGCGGAUGCAAAGAUCUGAGUGUAGCGGAUCUGCUGAAGUCUACAAACAGUUUCAGCCAGGCCAACAUUAUCGGAUGCGGCGGGUUUGGUCUAGUCUACAAAGCCAAUCUACCUGACGGCUCAAAAGCAGCGGUCAAGAAGCUUUCCGGCGACUGCGGGCAGAUGGAACGUGAGUUCCAAGCCGAAGUUGAAGCAUUGUCGCGAGCGGAACACGGGAAUCUCGUCUCUCUUCAAGGCUACUGCAAGCACGGGAACGAUAGGCUGCUCAUCUACUCGUUUAUGGAGAACGGAAGUUUGGAUUAUUGGCUUCACGAGCGUGUAUUAGACGGGAGUACGACUUUCGGAUGGGACGUGAGGUUGAAGAUAGCUCGAGGAGCGGCGCGUGGGCUUGCUUACUUGCAUAAAGACUGUGAACCGAACGUCAUCCACAGGGACGUGAAGUCGUCUAACAUUCUGUUGGACGAGAAGUUCGAAGCUCAUCUUGCGGAUUUUGGGUUAGCGAGGCUGCUUAGGCCGUACGAUACUCACGUGACGACUGAUUUGGUGGGGACGUUGGGGUAUAUUCCUCCGGAGUAUAGCCAGUCUUUGAUAGCCACGUGUAGAGGAGAUGUUUACAGUUUCGGUGUGGUGCUUUUGGAGCUUGUUACGGGUCGUAGACCGGUGGAGGUUUGUAAAGGGAAAGGUUGCAGAGACUUGGUGUCUCGGGUGUUUCGGAUGAAGGAUGAGAAGCGUGAAGCUGAGCUUAUUGAUGCAACGAUACGUGAGGAUGUGGAGGAGAAAGAGGUUUUGGGGAUGUUGGAGAUUGCGUGCAAAUGCAUUGAUCAUGACCCUAGAAGGAGGCCGUUGAUUGAAGACGUCGUUGCUGGGCUUGAAGAUUUUCCAAAUCAAUAAAGUAUCUUCAAAAUGUUUCGACACCACAGGAAAAAAAAAAAACAACAACAACGAGGAGGAGGAUGAGAUGUAAGAAAGAAAACAACAGUCUUAAACAGAUUAAGCUUUAAAACUAGCAUUUACUUAUCUUCUGAAACCUGAAUACUGAACUUGUCAAAUCAUCUCAAGAACGUCUCCGUAACGUCAGGGCACAUUCCUGCAUUGCUUCCGGAGUUGUUCCUGAACUCUAGUGGUUGCUGAUGGAGCGAGGUUGUUGUUGAUGCCGAAGAGUCCAUUCUUGCUGGUAAUGUGUAGCUCCUUAGGAUGAUUAUGAUGACUUUCAAGGCUCAACAACUCGUUCUGGUUUUCGAUAUUCAUUUGGUUCUGCUCCUGGUGCCUACUAGCUUCCUCUGCACGGCCAGUCAAUGCACUGAACAAAGAUAAACAGUUGGGCCAUUUGAUGUCGUCUUCGUGCUCUUCCAUUGGAGGAAGCAUCUGAGGAGGAGCAUUGCUUUCUUGAAGGAAACCAUAUCUUGUUGAUGCAGGUAGUUGGUUUUGGAAGCUAGGGGAAGGCUACAACCGAGAAUGUGAUCCCCAGUUAAAACCUUGAGAUUGAAGCUGCUGGUUUGUAACUGAGGAAGAAGAUGGAGUAGCAGCGGUUCCGUUGGAAGAGAAGAGCUGUGAGAGGCCCGUAAACGCGAUGAAGAGGAACCCUAGGUCGCGUUCUCAUCGUCGCCUCCGUCCUGUCUUUACGUUUCCGGUAACGGUUCUUUACUCCCAUUGAUGUGUCUUCAAUGCGAUCCUUGCGUCACAGAGACGGUGAGUUUUUUGUGUAUAAAUAGAUGCUAUGGCAAUGGCGAACUCCAGAUCCUGCUUUUUGCGUUGAAGUUCGGUGGUUGUAUUGAGGCAGGCGUGACGAUAUUUUUCGUUUUUAAGAGUUUCGUAGUGUUAAGAAAGGAAUGGAGCUCAUGAGUAUUGACAUGAGGAUAGAUCUUUCUGAGCUGCUUCAUUUUGUUGGAAGCUAAAAGGAGAAACGAACGACCAGGGAAAUUAGACGAAUGCUUACUAAUAAAUAAGAGAUACAGAGGGAAAACCAUCGUAUUCAAGUGAAGAACUAUGUGAAGGCUGAGUGAUUUAUGAGAACAUGUUUUGACAUCAUGGAGAAAUCAGUAGCUUCAGAAGAUCAGUCCAUAGCCUUCCUAAUUCAGUGAUGGAGAAAUCAGUUGCUUCAGAAGAUCAGUCCAUAGCCUUCCUAAUUCAGUCAGUACUUCUCAACUGAACCGUUAUGAGGAAAUAGCAAUUAAGGCUCUAUGAAUCUGUGAUAAGUCAUUUGGUAUAUAGAGGUUUCCUCUCUCCAUACCAUCAUCAUCUUUCUGUCAUCUAAACAUGAUUCAAUAGAGUCUUUGUUGGAAACCCCAUGCAGGUGAGGCGAUGUACUGUUUGGUGUCGAUUCAGACGAUGUUAGGUAAAGACGAUGAGGAAGUACUCGGUUUUCUGAAAAGGGUGUUGAUGAUCCAAGAAAGAUAGUAGGAGACGAUAGAUGAGAAAUAUAAGUGUAAAAGAAGACUGCCUUUACAAGGAGAGUCGUAUUGUGAACAUAUUUUCUUGCUCUGAUCUUUCUUGAACAAUGGCAGAAAGUUUGGUCUCGUAAUGGCCAGUGAUGUUAAAAAGUUAUUUUUGUUCUGGUAUAUACACUAAUACAACAUCUGCUUAUAUCUGUGAAAUUUUGCAGCAGUUGUGCUUUUAUUGAAUCUAACUAUUAAUGACUA